AACGCGAAGAACCUUACCUGGGCUCGAAAUGGAGUGGACCGGAGCAGAAACGUUCCUUCCCCGCAAGGGGCCGCUUUAUAGGUGCUGCAUGGCUGUCGUCAGCUCGUGUCGUGAGAUGUUGGGUUAAGUCCCGCAACGAGCGCAACCCUUAUUAUUAGUUGCCAACACGCAAGGUGGGGACUCUAAUGAGACUGCCUGGGUUAACCAGGAGGAAGGUGAGGAUGACGUCAAGUCCGCAUGGCCUUUAUAUCCGGGGCUACACACGUGCUACAAUGGUCGGUACAGAAGGCUGCGAAACCGUGAGGUGAAGCAAAUCCCAAAAGCCGAUCUCAGUUCAGAUUGUAGUCUGCAACUCGACUACAUGAAGUUGGAAUUGCUAGUAAUGGCGUGUCAGCAACAACGCCGUGAAUACGUUCCCGGGCCUUGUACACACCGAGACGAC
rnacentral:rRNA from 1 species